GCCUGGGUGGCUCAGCGGGCAGAGCAUUAGGUAACACACCUAAAGGUCCAGGGUUCGAUUCCCUGCCCAGGCA